rnacentral:rRNA from 1 species
CCUACGGGUGGCUGCAGUGGGGAAUAUUGCACAAUGGGCGCAAGCCUGAUGCAGCCAUGCCGCGUGUGUGAAGAAGGCCUUCGGGUUGUAAAGCACUUUCAGCGGGGAGGAAGGCGGUGAGGUUAAUAACCUCAUCGAUUGACGUUACCCGCAGAAGAAGCACCGGCUAACUCCGUGCCAGCAGCCGCGGUAAUACGGAGGGUGCAAGCGUUAAUCGGAAUUACUGGGCGUAAAGCACACGCAGGCGGUCUGUCAAGUCGGAUGUGAAAUCCCCGGGCUCAACCUGGGAACUGCAUUCGAAACUGGCAGGCUAGAGUCUUGUAGAGGGGGGUAGAAUUCCAGGUGUAGCGGUGAAAUGCGUAGCGAUCCGGAGGAAUACCGGUGGCGAAGGCGGCCCCCUGGACAAAGACUGACGCUCAGGUGCGAAAGCGUGGGGAGCAAACAGGAUUAGAUACCCUUGUAGUC